rnacentral:rRNA from 1 species
GCGCACGCUGGCGGCAGGCUUCACACAUGCCAGUCGAGCGGGCACUUUCGGGUGUCAGCGGCGGACGGGUGAGUAACGCGUGGGAACGUGCCCUCUGGUUCGGAAUAACUCAGGGAAACUUGAGCUAAUACCGGAUACGCCCUUUUGGGGAAAGGCUUGCUGCCGGAGGAUCGGCCCGCGUCUGAUUAGCUAGUUGGUGAGGUAACGGCUCACCAAGGCGACGAUCAGUAGCUGGUCUGAGAGGAUGAUCAGCCACACUGGGACUGAGACACGGCCCAGACUCCUACGGGAGGCAGCAGUGGGGAGUAUUGGACAAUGGGCGCAAGCCUGAUCCAGCCAUGCCGCGUGAGUGAUGAAGGCCUUAGGGUUGUAAAGCUCUUUUAUCCGGGACGAUAAUGACGGUACCGGAGGAAUAAGCCCCGGCUAACUUCGUG